rnacentral:rRNA from 1 species
UACGAAGGGGGCUAGCGUUGCUCGGAAUCACUGGGCGUAAAGCGCACGUAGGCGGAUUGCUAAGUCAGGGGUGAAAUCCCGGGGCUCAACCCCGGAACUGCCUUUGAUACUGGCAUUCUCGAGUCCGGAAGAGGUGAGUGGAAUUCCGAGUGUAGAGGUGAAAUUCGUAGAUAUUCGGAGGAACACCAGUGGCGAAGGCGGCUCACUGGUCCGGUACUGACGCUGAGGUGCGAAAGCGUGGGGAGCAAACAGG